UACGAAGGGGCUAGCGUUGUUCGGAAUUACUGGGCGUAAAGGCGCGUAGGCGGCCUGUUAAGUCGAACGUGAAAUCCCCGGGCUCAACCCGGGAACUGCGUCCGAUACUGGCAGGCUUGAAUCCGGGAGAGGGAUGGCGGAAUUCCAGGUGUAGCGGUGAAAUGCGUAGAUAUCUGGAGGAACACCGGUGGCGAAGGCGG
rnacentral:rRNA from 1 species